rnacentral:rRNA from 1 species
AUACGUAGGGGGCAAGCGUUAUCCGGAUUUACUGGGUGUAAAGGGAGCGUAGACGGUUUGGCAAGUCUGAAGUGAAAGCCCAGGGCUUAACCCUGGGACUGCUUUGGAAACUGUUAAACUAGAGUGCAGGAGAGGUAAGUGGAAUUCCUAGUGUAGCGGUGAAAUGCGUAGAUAUUAGGAGGAACACCAGUGGCGAAGGCGGCUUACUGGACUGUAACUGACGUUGAGGCUCGAAAGCGUGGGGAGCAAACAGGAUUAGAUACCCUGGUAGUCCACGCUGUAAACGAUGA